rnacentral:rRNA from 1 species
GUGAGGAAUAUUGGGCAAUGGGCGCAAGCCUGACCCAGCAACGCCGCGUGAAGGAAGACGGUUUUCGGAUUGUAAACUUCUUUUAAGAGGGACGAUAAUGACGGUACCUCUUGAAUAAGCCACGGCUAACUACGUGCCAGCAGCCGCGGUAAUACGUAGGUGGCAAGCGUUGUCCGGAUUUACUGGGUGUAAAGGGCGAGUAGGCGGGAUAUCAAGUCAGGUGUGAAAUCCAUGGGCUCAACCCAUGAACUGCACUUGAAACUGAUAUUCUUGAGUGAUGGAGAGGCAGGCGGAAUUCCCGGUGUAGCGGUGGAAUGCGUAGAUAUCGGGAGGAACACCAGUGGCGAAGGCGGCCUGCUGGACAUUAACUGACGCUGAGGAGCGAAAGCGUGGGGAGCAAACAGGAUUAGAUACCCUAGUAGUCC